rnacentral:rRNA from 1 species
AUGCCGUCGCCGUCGCCGUCCAUGGUGCGCGUGGUGUCAUCGCGCACGGUGGCGCCGCCGCCGCGCCCGCGCGAGCGCAUCCCGCUAACCUCCUGGGACGCCGCCAUGCUGUCCGCCAACUACAUCCAGAAGGGCCUCCUCUUCCACAGACCCUCUUCCUCGGCAUCCGCCCUCUCCACCGCCGCCGGCGUCGUCGACCACCUCGCCGCGGCCCUCGGCGACGCGCUUGUCUACUACUACCCCGUUGCCGGCCGCUGCGCCACCGAGCAGCACAGGGACGAACUUACCGGCGCCGUCGUUGGCUGCUCCGUCCACAUCGACUGCGACGGCCAGGGCGUGGAGGUCGUGCACGCCGUAGCCGACGGCGUGGCCAUGGCGGGCAUCGUCCCGCCCGACGCCGACGUGCCGCGCGACGUGCUGGCGCAGUUCUUCCAGCUCACCGACGCCGUCAACUACGGCGGCCGCGAGCAGCCGCUGCUCGCCGUCCAGGUGACCGACCUCGCCGACGGGGUGUUCGUCGGGUUCGCCUACAACCACGCGCUCUCCGACGGCACCGCCUUCUGGGACCUCGUCAACAGCUGGGCGGCCCUCGCGCGCGCCAGACUCGGCCUCGCCCCGGCGCCCCCGACGCCGAAGCCCUCGUUCGAGCGCUGGUCGCCGGACGGCGGCGCGGCGGGGCCGGCCGUGCUGCCGUGCGCCGACGUGUCGGAGCUCGUCGAGCGGGCGCCCCCGCUGGCGUUGCGCGAGCGGAUGCUGCACUUCUCGGCGGACUCGCUGGCGGCGCUCAAGGAGCGCGCGCGGGAGGAGCUCCUGGCCGCUGGGGACGCAGCCGGCGCCGCCGCCCUGACGCGGUUCCAGGCGCUGUCCUCGCUCUUCUGGCGCUGCAUCACCCGUGCGCGGCGGCUGGCGCCGGAGCAGGAGACCGUGUGCCGCGCCUCCAUCAACAACCGCGGGCGGCUGCGGCCGGAGCUGCCCAGGGAGUACUUCGGCAACACCAUCUACGCCAUCGGGACGGAGCCGGCGCGCGCCGCGGACCUCCUCGAGCGCGGGCACGGGUGGGCGACGGCGGCCGUGGGGCGGGCCGUGGCGGCGCACACGGACGCGGCCAUCAGGGCGCGCGUGGCGGCGUGGACGGCCAAGCCCAUGGUGUACACGCAUCGCUUCUUCGACCCGACCGAGACCUUGAUGGGCAGCUCGCCGCGGUUUGACAUGUACGGCUGCGACUUCGGCUGGGGGAGGCCCGUGGCGGCGCGCAGCGGCCGGGCCAACAAGUUCGACGGCAAGACGUCGCUGUACCCCGGCCGGGAGGGCGGCGGGAGCAUCGACGCAGAGCUCACGCUCACGCCGGAGAACAUGGCGGCGCUCGAGGAGAUUGAGGAGUUAUGGGCUGCCGUGACCCCGGACACGCCGGUGCUGGCGCCGGAGAAGAAGCCUUGA